CAUGCCUAAGACAUGCAAGUCGAACGAGGCGGCCCACAGAUUCAAAUGGAAGUUGGAGUGCUUGCACAAAGAUGGAAAUUGAUGACGUGGAUUUCCGCCUAGUGGCGCAAGGGUGAGUAACACGUGGGUAAUCUACCUUAUAGACGGGGAUAACAGUUGGAAACGAUUGCUAAUACCGGAUACUAUAUAGAAUGAUACGUUGUUCUAUAUUAAAAGGAAGCCUUUAAAGCUUCGCUAAAAGAUGAGCCUGCGGCGUAUUAGCUAGUUGGUGGGGUAAAGGCCUACCAAGGCAACGAUGCGUAGCCGACCUGAGAGGGUGAACGGCCACAUUGGGACUGAGACACGGCCCAAACUCCUACGGGAGACAGCAGUUAGGAAUAUUCGUCAAUGGGGGAAACCCUGAACGAGCAAUGCCGCGUGAAGGAUGACGGCCCUCUGGAUUGUAAACUUCUGUUGUUAGGGAAGAACGGUAAGUAUAGGAAAUGAUACUUAAGUGACGGUACCUUUCAAGAAAGCAUCGGCUAACUACGUGCCAGCCGCGGC
rnacentral:rRNA from 1 species